CUAACACAUGCAAGCCGAGGGGUAAGUCUCUUUCGGGAGAACACGACCGGCGCACGGGUGAGUAACGCGUAUGCAACCUACCUUUGGCACGGGGACAGCCCGGGGAAACCCGGAUUAAUACCCGGUAUAGUCUGUUAUACACCUGUAUAAAAGACGAGAGCUACGGCGGCCAAAGAUGGGCAUGCGUGCCAUUAGUUAGUUGGUAGGGUAAGGGCCUACCAAGGCAUCGAUGGCUACGGGGUCUAAAAGGAUGAGCCCGCACACUGGUACUGAGACACGGACCAGACUCCUACGGGAGGCAGCAGUGAGGAAUAUUGGUCAAUGGGUGGAAGCCUGAACCAGCCAUGCCGCGUGCAGGAAGACGGCCCUAUGGGUUGUAAACUGCUUUUCUACGGGACGAACGGCUCUGACGCGUCAGGGAUUGACGGUACCGUAGGAAUAAGCAUCGGCUAACUCCGUGCCAGCAGCCGCGGUAAUACGGAGGAUGCGAGCGUUAUCCGGAUUUAUUAGGUUUAAAGGGUGCGUAGGCUGGGCAAUAAGUCAGUGGUGAAAGUCCGCGGCUCAACCGUGGGAUUGCCAUUGAAACUGUUGUUCUUGAGUACAGUCGAGGUAGGCGGAAUGUGUAAUGUAGCGGUGAAAUGCCUAGAUAUUACCCAGAACACCGAUUGCGUAGGCAGGUUACCAGCCUGGAACUGACGCUGAUGCACGAAAGCGUGGGGAGCGACCAGGAUUAGAUACCCUGGUAGUCCACGCCGUAAACGAUGAUCACUCGCUUGUUGGCAAUAUAGAGGUCAGGGGUUGAGCGAAAGCAUUAAGU
rnacentral:rRNA from 1 species